rnacentral:rRNA from 1 species
GAGCCGGCCUUGAAAUACCACCCUUUAAUGUUUGAUGUUCUAACGUUGACCCGUUAUCCGGGUUGCGGACAGUGUCUGGUGGGUAGUUUGACUGGGGCGGUCUCCUCCUAAAGAGUAACGGAGGAGCACGAAGGUUGGCUAAUCCUGGUCGGACAUCAGGAGGUUAGUGCAAUGGCAUAAGCCAGCUUGACUGCGAGCGUGACGGCGCGAGCAGGUGCGAAAGCAGGUCAUAGUGAUCCGGUGGUUCUGAAUGGAAGGGCCAUCGCUCAACGGAUAAAAGGUACUCCGGGGAUAACAGGCUGAUACCGCCCAAGAGUUCAUAUCGACGGCGGUGUUUGGCACCUCGAUGUCGGCUCAUCACAUCCUGGGGCUGAAGUAGGUCCCAAGGGUAUGGCUGUUCGCCAUUUAAAGUGGUACGCGAGCUGGGUUUAGAACGUCGUGAGACAGUUCGGUCCCUAUCUGCCGUGGGCGCUGGAGAACUGAGGGGGGCUGCUCCUAGUACGAGAGGACCGGAGUGGACGCAUCACUGGUGUUCGGGUUGUCAUGCCAAUGGCACUGCCCGGUAGCUAAAUGCGGAAGAGAUAAGUGCUGAAAGCAUCUAAGCACGAAACUUGCCCCGAGAUGAGUUCUCCCUGACUCCUUGAGAGUCCUGAAGGAACGUUGAAGACGACGACGUUGAUAGGCCGGGUGUGUAAGCGCAGCGAUGCGUUGAGCUAACCGGUACUAAUGAACCGUGAGG